UACAGGGGGUGCAAACGUUGCUCGGAAUCAUUGGGCGUAAAGCGCACGUAGGCGGUUCGUUAUGUCGGAUGUGAAAGCCCUUGGCUUAACCGAGGAAGUGCAUCCGAAACUGGCGAGCUAGAGUACUAAAGAGGAUCGCGGAAUUCCCGGUGUAGAGGUGAAAUUCGUAGAUAUCGGGAGGAACACCGGGUGGCGAAGGCGGCGAUCUGGGUAGAUACUGACGCUGAGGUGCGAAAGCGUGGGGAGCAAACAGG
rnacentral:rRNA from 1 species